rnacentral:tRNA from 1 species
GCUGGCGUGGCCGAGUGGUUAUGGUGCACGCUCGUUUUGAAAAUGUUUUUGCUCAUAGGCAUGGGUUCGAACCCCAUCGACGGCA